ACGCUCGACACCUACGGGAGCAGCAGUGGGGAAUAUUGCACAAUGGGGGAAACCCUGAUGCAGCGACGCCGCGUGGAGGAAGAAGGUCUUCGGAUUGUAAACUCCUGUUGCUGGGGAAAAAGAGGAUGGUACCCAACAAGGAAGUGACGGCUAACUACGUGCCGGCAGCCGCGGUAAUCUGAGCGGGCUGGCAAGGC
rnacentral:rRNA from 1 species